UUGUCUGUCAUAGCUGACGUGUACCUAUGAUGAAAAUUACAGGCCUCUCUCAUCUUUUUAAGUGGGAGAACUUGCACAAUUGGUGGCUGACUAAAUACUUUUUUUCCCCACUGUAUCUGAUGUUCUGUCUGUCUGUUGUUCUGAUGUUCUAUCUGAUAGAUCUACAGUCAGACAGAAUAUCUGAUAUUCUAUGUGUCUGAUGUUCUAUCUAUCUGAUGUUCUGUCUGUCUGAUGUUCUAUCUGUCUGAUGUUCUAUCUGUCUGAUGUUCUAUCUGUCUGAUGUUCUAUCUGUCUGAUGUUCUAUCUGUCUGAUGUUCUCUCUGUCUGACUGUAGAUGUCUGAUGUUCUAUCUAUCUGAUGUUCUAUCUAUCUGAUGUUCUAUCUAUCUGAUGUUCUAUCUAUCUAAUGUUCUAUCUGUCUGAUGUUCUAUCUGUCUGACUGUAGAUGUCUGAUGUUCUAUCUGUCUGAUGUUCUAUCUGUCUGAUGUUCUGUCUGACUAGAUCUGUCUGACGUUCUAUCUGUCUGACUGUAGAUCUGUCUGAUGUUCUGUCUGUCUGAUGUUGUAUCUGUCUGAUGUUCUGUCUGUCUGAUGUUCUGUCUGUCUGAUGUUCUAUCUGUCUGAUGUUCUAUCUGUCUGACUGCAGAUCUAUCUCUCUCACUGUAAACAGAGUGACAAUGGCUUAUGAUUUUAUAACUGGUUCUGUGUUUCAAAUAGUACCCUAUUCCCUAUGUAGUCCACUAUUAUUAGUUAGUCCACUAUAUAGGGACUAGGGUGCCGUUAGGGACUCAGUUUGGGUAUGGUAUUUAACAAUGGCUACUCCAGUCAUGCUGACUCAUCAGGACUAUACUAGAUGUUAAACUCUUCAUGUGAUGAACAUUAUGCAUUGUGCUUAGAUGACCGGGAUACCAGGUGAAACAUUGUGUUUAGAUGACCAGGAUACCAGGUGAAACAUUGUUUAGAUGACCAGGAUACCAGGUGAAACAUUGUUUAGAUGACCAGGAUACCAGGUGAAACAUUGUUUAGAUUACCAGGAUACCAGGUGAAACAUUAUGUUUAGAUUACCAGGAUACCAGGUGAAACAUUAUGUUUAGAUGACCAGGAUACCAGGUGAAACAUUGUGUUUAGAUGACCAGGAUACCAGGUGAAACAUUGUGUUUAGAUGACCGGGAUACCAGGUGAAACAUUGUGUUUAGAUGACCGGGAUUCCAGGUGAAACAUUAUGUUUAGAUGACCAGGAUACCAGGUGAAACAUUGUGUUUAGAUGACCAGGAUACCAGGUGAAACAUUGUGCUUAGAUUACCAGGUGAAACAUUGUGUUUAGAUGACCAGGAUACCAGGUGAAACAUUGUGUUUAGAUGACCAGGAUACCAGGUGAAACAUUGUGUUUAGAUGACCAGGAUACCAGGUGAAACAUUGUGUUUAGAUGACCGGGAUACCAGGUGAAACAUUGUGUUUAGAUGACCAGGAUACCAGGUGAAACAUUGUUUAGAUGACCAGGAUACCAGGUGAAACAUUGUUUAGAUUACCAGGAUACCAGGUGAAACAUUGUGUUUAGAUGACCGGGAUACCAGGUGAAACAUUGUGUUUAGAUGACCGGGAUACCAGGUGAAACAUUAUGUUUAGAUUACCAGGAUACCAGGUGAAACAUUGUGUUUAGAUGACCGGGAUACCAGGUGAAACAUUGUGUUUAGAUGACCGGGUUACCAGGUGAAACAUUGUGUUUAGAUGACCAGGAUACCAGGUGAAACAUUGUGUUUUGAUGACCAGGAUACCAGGUGAAACAUUGUGUUUAGAUGACCAGGAUACCAGGUGAAACAUUGUGUUUAGAUGACCAGGAUACCAGGUGAAACAUUGUUCUUAGAUUACCAGGUGAAACAUUGUUUAGAUUACCAGGAUACCAGGUGAAACAUUUGCCUGAAGACUCCAACUGAAUUCUCCCUCUUGCUCUAUGUUCUCUACAUACCGCGGUCUGAGACUGCCAUCAUUGAAGUAGUUUGUGCUAACAAAUCAUAAUCAAGCCAUUUGGAUUGUUUUUAAACCAAUCAGAGUAUCAAAGCCAAUGGCACGUUUUCAAAAUGCCACUUUACCCACGUGUGUUCUGGCGCCGGCCCAUCGGUUUUCUGGACCUAUCAGUACAAUUAGAGUGUUUUUCCAUUCUAGAACUUGUCGGGAGAGGGAGUCAGACCCAGACGAUGAGUCUGAGUAGCCAGACAACUGAAGCAUAUGGAUUAAUACAGGUAUACACACACUCUCACUGGACAGUUUAUUAGGUACACCCAUCUAGUACUGGGUCAGACCCCCCCGCCCCCACUUUGCAUCCAGAACCGCCUGAAUUCUUCGGGGCAUUCUACAAGGUGUCGCAGACGUUCCACAGGGAUGUUUGGGGGCAUUCUGACAUGAUGGCAUCACGCAGUUUCUGCAGAUGGGACGGCGACACAUUCAGGCAGCGAACAAACCUAUCUCAUCUCAUCCCAAAGAUGCUCCGUUGGGUUGAGGUCUAGUUCUGCACACCACUGUUGUACUGCGCCGUUAUUUACCUGUUUUGUGGACCGCCUGUUCGCUUGCACGAUUCUUGUCCUUGGACGAGCUGUUUUCACCCGCAGGACUGGACUGCCACUGACCUGGAUAUUUGUCGAGACAUUUUUUGGGGGGUAAACCCUAGACACUGUCGGGCGUGAAAAGCCCAGUAAGGGCGGCCGACGAUCAUACCACGCUCACAAAGGGUCGCUUAGGUCAAUCGUUUUUUUUUGUUGUUGUUGUCCGUUCUAACGUUCAGUCGAACAGUAACUGAAUGCCUUGAUGCCUGUUUUAUACAGCACACCACGGUCACGUGACUCACUGUCUGUAGGCGCGAACCGUUUCUGUGAACGUGGGGUGGUGUACCUAAAUAAACGUUCAGUACACACGUGUUAUAUAUGUGUGUAUUAUACUCCUGUUAUUCGGGUUGACCAGGCUGUGCUGUGAGGUUAAAGGUUGACGUGUGCGGGCCAUGCUCUCAGUGAUGAACUUUCCCCUAGGUACAGAUCUAGGAUCAGUUUCCCCUAAGUACAGAUCUAGGAUCAGUUUCCCCUAAGUACAGAUCUAGGAUCAGUUUCCCCUAAGUACAGAUCUAGGGUCAGUUUCCGCUUCCCCAAAUCCGAACCUUAAACAUUAUUGGGGAAAAUGCUAAACUGACCCAAGAUCAGCAUGUAGGGGGUAACUUCACCCUGCUCCUGUGAAGCUCGUGUGUUUUACCUCCUGUGCUUUCACAAAGGAGGGCGAUCGCUGCGAUUCUCUUGGCACUCUACUGUGUGUGUUUGUAGAUUUUAUUUUUACUGGGAUUAUUUUAAAUUCAUUGUGAGACUAUUAAGUACAUUUGAAAACUGUUUAGUUUGAUCUCUGUGUGUGUGUGUGUGUGUGUGUGUGUGUGUGUGUGUGUUUUUCAGAAAGUAUUCACAAUCCUUGACUUUUUCCAAAUGUAGUUUUGUUACAGCCUGAAUUCAAAAUGUAUUAAAUGUAGAUCGUGUGUCACUGGUCUCUACUCACACUACCCCAUAAUGUCAAAGUGGAAUUAUGUUUUUAGACAUUUUUUACAAUCUAAUUAAAAAUGUAAAAUCUGA